AUACGUAGGGUGCGAGCGUUAAUCGGAAUUACUGGGCGUAAAGCGUGCGCAGGCGGUUUUGUAAGUCAGAUGUGAAAUCCCCGGGCUUAACCUGGGAACUGCGUUUGAAACUGCAAGGCUAGAGUGUGGCAGAGGGGGGUGGAAUUCCGCGUGUAGCAGUGAAAUGCGUAGAGAUGUGGAGGAACACCGAUGGCGAAGGCAGCCCCCUGGGUCAACACUGACGCUCAGGCACGAAAGCAUGGGGAGCAAACAGGAUUAGAAACCCCGGUAGUCC
rnacentral:rRNA from 1 species